rnacentral:tRNA from 13 species
GUCACGAUAGCUCAAAUGGUAGAGUAGCAGCGUAUCAAGCUGAAGGUCGUGGGUUCGAAUCCCACUCGUGACA